GAUAGCCAUUUCCGUCUUUUCUACGCGUAAUCCACCUUUUUUGAGGAUUUGAUGGCAGAACAUGGAGUGAAGUUAAAGGACAUUAUGAUAGAGAUAGUAAAAUGUGCUCGAGUUGAAAGCCAGAAAAGAAAGAAGUUUGAGGUAUAAGGAAUGUGUCAAUGCGUAAAUCGCAAGAAACGAAUAAUAACUUUGUAAACUUAAGUUAUUCACUAAUCACCGUACUUACAUCUAAAGCGCCUAUGCUUUAUAAACUGUUACUUGAAGCACAAAAUUGAAUAACUUAGCUUAGUAAAAACCUAGUAAUCAGUCUUGCACCUAAAAUUUGUCCAGAUAUUUAUUUUGAAUAUCUAAUGUUACUGUAGUUGGUUUUUGUCCGUAUAUUCUGAUCACAGUAAACCCUGCAUAUGAAGAACCUAGUUAUCUUUUCAAGCUAGCCUACCAGAUUCAAAUUUAAAUGGUGCAUAUAGAGGCAUUAGGCUUCUAGCUUCUUAUCUGAAUAUACAAAGAUGGAGGAGGAGGCAGUUCUUUUGGAAAACCGUAAUGACGCCAAAAAGGGUAAUGUUCAAAAGCUGUUAAAGUUGUUAUA